rnacentral:rRNA from 1 species
UUUGGUAAUUAAUACCUCAUAGUAUUUUCGGGAUCGCAUGAUUUGAUUAUUAAAGUUCCAACGGUAAAAGAUGAGUAUGCGUCCCAUUAGCUAGAUGGUAAGGUAACGGCUUACCAUGGCAAUGAUGGGUAGGGGUCCUGAGAGGGAGAUCCCCCACACUGGUACUGAGACACGGACCAGACUCCUACGGGAGGCAGCAGUGAGGAAUAUUGGACAAUGGGCGCAAGCCUGAUCCAGCCAUGCCGCGUGCAGGAAUAAGGUCCUAUGGAUUGUAAACUGCUUUUAUACAGGAAGAAACACACCCUCGUGAGGGUACUUGACGGUACUGUAUGAAUAAGGACCGGCUAACUCCGUG